GAUCCGCCACACUGGAACUGAGACACGGUCCAGACUCCUACGGGAGGCAGCAGUGGGGAAUUUUGGACAAUGGGGGCAACCCUGAUCCAGCCAUGCCGCGUGAGUGAAGAAGGCCUUCGGGUUGUAAAGCUCUUUCAGCCGGGAAGAAAACGCAUGGGUUAAUACCCUGUGUGGAUGACGGUACCGGAAUAAGAAGCACCGGCUAACUACGUGCCAGCAGCCGCGGUAAUACGUAGGGUGCGAGCGUUAAUCGGAAUUACUGGGCGUAAAGCGUGCGCAGGCGGUUUUGUAAGACAGGCGUGAAAUCCCCGGGCUUAACCUGGGAACUGCGUUUGUGACUGCAAGGCUAGAGUACGGCAGAGGGGGGUGGAAUUCCACGUGUAGCAGUGAAAUGCGUAGAGAUGUGGAGGAACACCAAUGGCGAAGGCAGCCCCCUGGGUCGAUACUGACGCUCAUGCACGAAAGCGUGGGUAGCAAACAGGAUUAGAUACCCUGGUAGUCCACGCCCCAAACGAUGUCAACUAGGUGUUGGGAGGGUAAAACCUUUUAGUACCGGAGCUAACGCGUGAAGUUGACCGCCUGGGGAGUACGGCCGCAAGGUUAAAACUCAAAGGAAUUGACGGGGACCCGCACAAGCGGUGGAUGAUGUGGAUUAAUUCGAUGCAACGCGAAAAACCUUACCUACCCUUGACAUGCCAAGAACUUUCCAGAGAUGGAUUGGUGCCCGAAAGGGAACUUGGACACAGGUGCUGCAUGGCUGUCGUCAGCUCGUGUCGUGAGAUGUUGGGUUAAGUCCCGCAACGAGCGCAACCCUUGUCGUUAAUUGCCAUCAUUUAGUUGGGCACUUUAACGAGACUGCCGGUGACAAACCGGAGGAAGGUGGGGAUGACGUCAAGUCCUCAUGGCCCUUAUGGGUAGGGCUUCACACGUCAUACAAUGGUCGGUACAAAGGGUCGCCAAGCCGCGAGGUGGAGCCAAUCCCAGAAGGCCGAUCGUAGUCCGGAUCGCAGUCUGCAACUCGACUGCGUGAAGUCGGAAUCGCUAGUAAUCGUGGAUCAGAAUGUCACGGUGAAUACGUUCCCGGGUCUUGUACACACCGCCCGUCACACCAUGGGAGCGGGUUCCGCCAGAAGUAGGUAGCCUAACCGCAAGGAGGGCGCUUACCACGGCGGGGUUCGUGACUGGGGUGAAGUCGUAACAAGGUA
rnacentral:rRNA from 1 species